rnacentral:rRNA from 1 species
GACGAACGCUGGCGGCGUGCUUAACACAUGCAAGUCGAACGAUGAACCCGGAGCUUGCUCUGGGGGAUUAGUGGCGAACGGGUGAGUAACACGUGAGUAACCUGCCCUGGACUCUGGGAUAAGCGUUGGAAACGACGUCUAAUACCGGAUAGGACCUUGGAUCGCAUGAUCUGGGGUGGAAAGUUUUUUCGGUCUGGGAUGGACUCGCGGCCUAUCAGCUUGUUGGUGAGGUAAUGGCUCGCCAAGGCGUCGACGGGUAGCCGGCCUGAGAGGGUGACCGGCCACACUGGGACUGAGACACGGCGCAGACUCCUACGGGAGGCAGCAGUGGGGAAUAGUGCACAAUGGACGAAAGCCUGAUGCAGCAACGCCGCGUGCGGGAUGACGGCCUUCGGGUUGUAAACAGCUUUUAGUAGGGAAGAAGGGCUUCGGCUUGACGGUACCUGCAGAAAAAGGACCGGCUAACUACGU